GCCGUUCAAGUGUCCUUAUCUGUGAGUUGUCUGUUCAUAUCUUUCGCCUGUUUUCCCAUUGGGCUUUCUCUCUUUUUUUGUUGAUUUGUCAGAAUUUGUUCCCCGCUGGAGACUGAAAGCUCCCGGGGUGGGACUCUUGUCUGUUCUGCUCACCCUGAGUUCCCGGCACUUAGCAUGCGGCCCUAGCGUGGAAUUGGUGCUCAGUGAAGGCUUGGUGCAUAGAGGAGAGAAUGAAGAAGGGAAGGGAUGACGGGCGAAUGCCUCAAAAAAGGCGAGCAAAAGGAAGAGCCAGUGGGAAAUUGUGACAAGAGGAUGGGAGGACUGUCCACGCCAGGAAGUGGCAGUGCCAGGAGGUGCAGAAUCAGAGCGUCCUCACGCCCCUUCUGUGGGCGCAGCAGCAGAGAAAUGAGGAGCAGGAGGGGCCCGGCUCCCGGUCUCCCAGCACUGCUUCCUGGCUGUGAACUUCCAGGGGGACUUCACCCCUCUGGGCCUCGGCUUCCGUUUCCCCUCUGUUAAGUGGAAAACAGGUUUGUGCCUCCCCAGCAGGUGGUUGUGGAGAUGAACGAGUGGAUGGGCCAGUGUGGACGCAGCCUGAGGACUCGACUCUGCCUUUUUCUCCCCAGCGGGCAGCCUCAGGAGCUGGUCGCCAUGUCUGUGUGGGAGUGUGAAUGAGCACUGAUUUGGGAGUCUGUGGCCAGCCUGCUGGGCACCGUGAGCCGAGGCAAGCAGUCUCUCUGCGCCUGUUUCCUAGAGCUCCAGGGCCCCGUCGCCCCAACCUCCUUCCCCUUCCAGGGCCUGGGUGGUAAAUGGGACGGAGGUCCAGGCAGAUGGGGAGGCACAGGGGGCUGCCUCCCAGAGACAGCCCUAUAAGACUGUCCCGCAGGUCCCGCCCCAUUCCCCCGUAAGGGUAGUAGGGGGCUCAGGUUGGGGAAGUUAGUGGGGUCUGCAGGGCCUGAGGGGACCUUGUCUUCACAUGGGCCCACUCCCGGGGAGCCCCGCCUCCCCCUCCCCCACAUACGGCAGGUGCAGGAGAAAAGAGAAUGCCCAAACUGUGGGGCUGGAGGAGCUGACCCCAGCACCAGAUCACAGUGGGCUGGUCAGCUGGCCCAAGGACAGGACGGCUGAGGCUCUGGGCCUGAGUGUGCCGUCAUCGCCCCUCCAGAUGUCCCAGGCUGGGGCCCAGAGGGCCUGUCUUGAA
rnacentral:lncRNA from 1 species